GACGAACGCUGGCGGCGUGCCUAAUACAUGCAAGUAGAACGCUGAAGGAGGAGCUUGCUUCUCUGGAUGAGUUGCGAACGGGUGAGUAACGCGUAGGUAACCUGCCUGGUAGCGGGGGAUAACUAUUGGAAACGAUAGCUAAUACCGCAUAAUAGUAGAUGUUGCAUGACAUUUGCUUAAAAGGUGCAAUUGCAUCACUACCAGAUGGACCUGCGUUGUAUUAGCUAGUUGGUGAGGUAACGGCUCACCAAGGCAACGAUACAUAGCCGACCUGAGAGGGUGGUCGGCCAAACUGGGACUGAGACACGGCCCAGACUCCUACGGGAGGGAGCAGUAGGGAAUCUUCGGCAAUGGACGGAAGUCUGACCGAGCAACGCCGCGGGAGUGAAGAAGGUUUUCGGAUCGUAAAGCUCUGUUGUAAGAGAAGAACGAGUGUGAGAGUGGAAAGUUCACACUGUGACGGUAUCUUACCAGAAAGGGACGGCUAACUACGUG
rnacentral:rRNA from 1 species